AUUGAACGCUGGCGGCAGGCCUAACACAUGCAAGUCGAGCGGAUGAAGGGAGCUUGCUCCUGGAUUCAGCGGCGGACGGGUGAGUAAUGCCUAGGAAUCUUCCUGGUAGUGGGUGAUAACGUCCGUAAACGGGCGCUAAUACCGCAUACGUCCUGAGGGAGAAAGUGGGGGAUCUUCGGACCUCACGCUAUCAGAUGAGCCUAGGUCGGUUUAGCUAGUUGGUGGGGUAAAGGCCUACCAAGGCGACGAUCCGUAACUGGUCUGAGAGGAUGAUCAGUCACACUGGAACUGAGACACGGUCCAGACUACUAAGGGAGGCAGCAGUGGGGAAUAUUGGACAAUGGGCGAAAGCCUGAUCCAGCCAUGCCGCGUGUGUGAAGAAGGUCUUCGGAGUGUAAAGCACUUUAAGUUGGGAGGAAGGGCAGUAAGUUAAGACCUUGCUGUUUUGACGGUACCAACAGAAUAAGCACCGGCUAACUUCGUG
rnacentral:rRNA from 1 species